rnacentral:rRNA from 1 species
CACCUUUUGACAUGCCUGGACCGCUGGGGAGAUCCAGUUUUCCCUUCGGGGACCAGGACACAGGUGCUGCAUGGCUGUCGUCAGCUCGUGUCGUGAGAUGUUGGGUUAAGUCCCGCAACGAGCGCAACCCUCGCCUUUAGUUGCCAUCAUUAAGUUGGGCACUCUAAAGGGACCGCCGGUGGUAAGCCGGAGGAAGGUGGGGAUGACGUCAAGUCCUCAUGGCCCUUACAGGGUGGGCUACACACGUGCUACAAUGGCGACUACAGAGGGCAGCAAACCAGCGAUGGGGAGCCAAUCCCAAAAAGUCGUCUCAGUUCGGAUUGUUCUCUGCAACUCGAGAGCAUGAAGUCGGAAUCGCUAGUAAUCGCGGAUCAGCAUGCCGCGGUGAAUACGUUCCC